rnacentral:lncRNA from 1 species
CGGGGCUGGGUCCUUCCGGAAGCUCCAGGGGAGAAUCUUUUCUCUUGGGGAGAAUCUGUUUCUUGCCUUUUCCAAAUUCUAGAGGCCUGCAUUGCUGGGCUCAGGGUCCUCUGCCUUCAGAGCCCGCAGCGCGUGUCUCUAACCUCUGCUGCCAUAAUCAACAUCUACUUCUGGCCAAGAGGGAGGUUGGCUCAGCAUUGAGGAGCUUGGUGAUGACAUCAGGAGCCCUGGGAUCUUCUCCCAUCUCAGCGUCCUGAACGUCCCCCUUUCACCACGUGAGGUUCCGGAAUCAUGAUCUUAUUCCGCCCACCACAGGGAGGCUAAGCGUGAGUCCAGGCUGGUCUGCCUCCCCUGUUAAUUCAGGUCCUGGCCAUCUUCCGGAGGGGAAACUGAGGCUCUGAGAGGGAGGCGACCUGCCUGGUCAUGUGCUGUCCGGGGGAGUUCCAUCCACGUGAGGAGAGCUGGAGCCAGUGUUUUGGUGGAAGCAGGCAAGGCUUUGGAAAGCGCCCUUCCCUGCAUGGUGAGCCAGAGGCUCCCUCUGGGCUUGUGUGAAAUGGACCCCGUGGCGACCCCACGGGCAGAGGGGACAGCUGCCCAGGUGUGGGUUCUGCCAUGCCAGCCUGCAGAGGCCUCUCGUCUUACAGAGGGCAGUGACGUGCCCACAUCUCAUGAACAGUUGAAGAUGUACAUGAAGGUUGCAAAGACAGCAUGGAGAGUUUGUGUCCACCCCUCACUUAGGGUCCCCUGCCGUUAACAUCUCACAUCACUGUGGACACCAGCAAGAACUAAGGAACCAGCAUCGACACGUUGGUAUGAACUGAAGUCCACGCUUUGUUCGGAACCCGCCCCCCCAUCGCCUCUUCUCCCCCCAUGCCCUUUCUCUGCCCCAGGAUCCCAUCCAGGAUCCUCGUGUCUCCUUCGGCUCCUCUGGGCCGUGACAAAUUCUCAGACCCUCCUUGUUUUUGAUGACCUUGACCGUUGUGAGGACCGCUCAGGUGUUUUGUAGAGUCUCUCCCUGUUGAGACUCUCUGCUGUUUUUCUCAUGAUUAGACGAGGGUUAUGGGUUUUUGGGACAGAGACCCCAGGGGUGAAGUGCCCAUCUGAUCAUGUCCCGUCCAGGAUCCACACCAUCAAAAGGACUCAUGAUGGUCAAGGAUGACCUUGACCUCCUGGCCGAGGUCGUGUUUGUCAGCAUCUCCACUGUGCAGUCCCUCUCUUUCCAUCUCCCCAUAUUGCCAUGGUUUGAAUAUUUGUCCCCUGCAAAACUCAUGUUGAAAUUCAAUCCAUAUUGUGGCAGUCUUGAGAGGUGGGGCCUUUAAGAGGUGAUUAGAGGGCUCUGCCCUCAUGAAUGGAUUAAUCCAUUCAUGGAUUCAUGGGUUAUUACAGGAGUGGGACUAGUGGCUUCAUAAGAAGGAGAAGAGAGACCUGAGCCACCAGGCUCAGCCCCCUUGCCAUGGAUGCCCUGUGCUGCCUCAGAUGCUGCAGAGUCCCCACCAGCAAGAAGGCCCUUAGCAGAGGCAGCCGCUCGACCUUGGACUUCCCAGUCUCCAGAACCCUGGGAAAUAAACUUCUUUCCUUUAUAAACUACCCAGGCUCAGGGAUUCAGCUACAGCAGCAGAAAUGGACUAAGACACACACUCUGCUCUUAGGAAGAAGUCACGAUGGGCAGGCUGCAUGUGGGCGGGCGGCUCUGUGCUACUUCCUGGGCAAGCGUCUAUGUACAUUGUUUGGGAGGGAUGUGUCUUUUCUUCCCCAUUUAUUUAUUUCAUCCAUUCGAUACUUUAUGUUACUGUGGGCUCGUGGAUGUUUAUUCUAUCCUUGGGAUUUUAACCCCAUACAACCCCAUACCAUGUUU